rnacentral:lncRNA from 1 species
CUAUCUGUUGGUAUAUUAUGAUUGAAAUAAUCAAUUAAUUCGGCAGGCAUCGCAUUUUGAGUUUCGGCCGAUGUUUGAUGCAGAUGUAGACGUAGACAAUAUGGCACUAGAUGAACACAUUGCAGUUGCAUCAUAUCUAAAUGUAUUAAUGCCCUGAAAUAAAUUCAUUAUUUUCGCAGCAUCUUCUUCAAUUUCAGCAGAAGGACUAGGUAACAUUUGCACCCAUUCUUUCCGCAUAUAAAUCAUACAUUCCACAUAAUGUUUGCUCUAAAUUCUUAUAGGUGACAGGUGUAUCAAGUAUUAAAACUUUAUUGAUUUGAUCAAUUACGUAUUUAGUUCUCGAAAUAUUAUAUCGGGGGUCUAUUGCGCAUGCUAAAGGAAAUAACAUAGGCAGUUCUUCCUAAUAUUUUCUAAACUUUAAUUCCAUAACAAUUAAAAUUUCACUAGAAGCAGGAUCAUUUUUAUAUUUAUGGAAUGUUCUUGCAAUUAUAUAAAGACGUUCAAGCACCAUACAGCUUGUGGGAUAAUAAACGCCGGAUAAAAUCUUUGUGGUCUCAUAGAAAGAUGUCAAAAAUCGUUUAACUUUCAAAGCUAAAAUCCAAUCGGAUUCAUUUAACAUACCAUUAUCAUCACUUCUAACAUGUCUAUUAUUAUAAAAGUCAGUUAUUAAAUUUAUGAAACCUUCACAUGAUUUUAAUAGCAAUUAUGUAAAGUUCCAUCUAUGACCUACAUUGCUAACAAAUAUUUUAGCAGUCAUCACCACUAGUUCGGCAUAAAAAUCUUCAAAUGCUUGUUUUCUACUAGGAGAGAUCGUAAUAUAUACUAAUGCAUUCCUAAUCCUUUGAAGUUUAUCAUUUAUAUGUUUUAAACUAUCUUGCACAAUUAAAUUCAAGAUAUGAU